rfam:Picea glauca, whole genome shotgun sequence.
GGGUGCGAUCAUACCAGCUUUAAUGCACCAGAACCCAUCAGAACUCUCCAGUUAAGCGUGCUUGGGCUAGAGUAGUACUGGGAUGGGUGACCUCCCGGGAAGUCCUCGUGUUGCACCCU